GCAGCCAUGCCGCGUGUGUGAAGAAGGCCUUCGGGUUGUAAAGCACUUUCAGUUGUGAGGAAAGGUUAGUAGUUAAUACCUGCUAGCUGUGACGUUAGCAACAGAAGAAGCACCGGCUAACUCCGUGCCAGCAGCCGCGGUAAUACGGAGGGUGCGAGCGUUAAUCGGAAUUACUGGGCGUAAAGCGCACGCAGGCGGUUUGUUAAGCUAGAUGUGAAAACCCCGAGCUCAACUUGGGAUGGUCAUUUAGAACUGGCAGACUAGAGUCUUGGAGAGGGGAGUGGAAUUUCUAGUGUAGCGGUGAAAUGCGUAGAUAUUAGAAGGAACAUCAGUGGCGAAGGCGGCUCCCUGGCCAGAGACUGACGCUCAUGUGCGAAAGUGUGGGUAGCGAACAGGAUUAGAUACCCUGGUAGUCCACACCGUAAACGCUGUCUACUAGCUGUUUGUGAGUUUAACUCGUGAGUAGCGAAGCUAACGCGCUAAGUAGACCGCCUGGGGAGUACGGCCGCAAGGUUAAAACUCAAAUGAAUUGACGGGG
rnacentral:rRNA from 1 species